rnacentral:rRNA from 1 species
GAUGAACGCUGGCGGCGUGCCUAAUACAUGCAAGUCGAGCGAACAGACGAGGAGCUUGCUCCUCUGACGUUAGCGGCGGACGGGUGAGUAACACGUGGAUAACCUACCUAUAAGACUGGGAUAACUUCGGGAAACCGGAGCUAAUACCGGAUAAUAUAUUGAACCGCAUGGUUCAAUAGUGAAAGACGGUUUUGCUGUCACUUAUAGAUGGAUCCGCGCCGCAUUAGCUAGUUGGUAAGGUAACGGCUUACCAAGGCGACGAUGCGUAGCCGACCUGAUAGGGUGAUCGGCCACACGGGAACGGAGCCAGGGUCCAGACGCCUACGGGAGGCAGCAGUAGGGAAUCUUCCGCAAUGGGCGAAAGCCUGACGGAGCAGCGCCGCGUGAGUGAUGAAGGUCUUCGGAUCGUAAAACUCUGUUAUUAGGGAAGAACAAAUGUGUAAGUAACUAUGCACGUCUUGACGGUACCUAAUCAGAAAGCCGCGGCUAACUACGUG